rnacentral:rRNA from 1 species
UACGGAGGGUGCAAGCGUUAUCCGGAUUCACUGGGUUUAAAGGGUGCGUAGGUGGGCAGGUAAGUCCGUGGUGAAAUCUCUGAGCUUAACUCAGAAACUGCCGUGGAUACUAUUGUCUUGAAUAUUGUGGAGGUGAGCGGAAUAUGUCAUGUAGCGGUGAAAUGCUUAGAUAUGACAUAGAACACCAAUUGCGAAGGCAGCUCACUACACAAUUAUUGACGCUGAGGCACGAAAGCGUGGGGAUCAAACAGG